AUCAUUCAUCAUUUCACAAAGCGGAUCCAGACCAAAAUGAAGGAUCUUCUACAGCAGAUGGAAGAAGGGCGGAAGACAGCUGGUCCCCAUGAUUGCUCUGCUUAUACUGGUUGGACAGGUAACACUCUGGGCUGUAUGCGACUUUUCCUUGGAUGUACCUGAUCUCCAGAAUCUUCUCCAGUUCCAACAUUGCUUUCACCUCGUACAAGUCCUUGAACUUCAUCUUUGGCCUCCGCACCUUGCUGAUGACCGUCAUGCUCCGGCUGCUGGCCACCACCUCCAAAGUCCAGGCGUCCUUCUGCCAUUCAGGGCACAGUCACAUUUUCUAAGGACAUAG
rnacentral:lncRNA from 1 species